GCAAUGUAAAGGUAAUCUGUCACUCCAUUCAUCCAGGGUUGAUUUGGACAGUUUGGCUGGCAGUGCAGUUCCUCCCUCUGUCACAUCCCAUCUGUGUCCUCCUGAUUCUGUGGGCUCCAUGGAAGAGAAUGAUCUUCCCUGGCUGACAAACGUCAGGACUGUUCUUCUAUCAGAUCAACUGCAUACAAAUAUCUGCGCUUUCCUGCUAGAAUCUCCGUGAAGCUCACAAAACACAUAAAGCGUUUAUAUAGUAAUAUAUAAAGAAUCUCUUGAAAUUAACAAUUAAAACCAGAAGGGCACAUAUUAAUUUAAAAUAU
rnacentral:sRNA from 1 species